AUUUAUAUAUAUAUAUAUAUAUAUAUAUAUAUAUAUAUAUAUAUAUAUAUAUAUAUAUAUAUAUAUAUAUAUAUAUAUAAAUUGAUUGCUUUAGCCUAUAUCCAGUUGGCUGCUAUGUCAGAUUCACAUCUAAAUUUAAUGUGUACUAUGCAUGAAAUUAGCAUUAGCUGGUCUUUAUUUGAGAAAAUAGGAUUCCCAGUGUGCACAAAUUUACAAGAUUACUGAGUGCACUGUUGGUUUCAGUGUUUACUUUAUUUAUUUAUUUAUUUAUUUAUUUAUUUACUUUACAAUUUUUAAAAGUACUGUAAUUAAAUUACAUAUUGAAGUAAAAGUAGAUUAAAGUAAGUAGUAGAUAUGAAGUAAAAAGCUGUUAUUUUACAGAUUUUUUAAGUUUAUUUAUUGAUUCCUUUUUUCUCUAAUUUUGUAAUUAUUACCUAAAAUAAAUAAAAAUUUAAUUGCGCUCACAGAUGUCAGCUGUGAGAAAAUCAAUAUCAGUCGAGCACAAAAAAAAAAAUGUAAUACCUUCUGGCUGUAAAACGUUAGUAGUUCAUGCUUACUGUGAUGAAAUACACAUAUGGUUAUGAUUUGUUUGCAGAUGCUUUUUUGGAUUGAUAUUUACUUAUUUAUGCAAUGGCAUUCAUACAUAUUUAAUUGUGUCUUAAGUGUCCAGAUACUCUUUGGAGCCGCUGUGUGGGUGGAUGUCAAACACACUGUAACAAUGAAGAAUCAUUAAGCUAAUCUCAUUGCUUGCAUGCAGAUUUAGUUCUGGCUGCUGCAUUGUGCUUGUAUUGUGACCUCAUAAUCUCUGCGAUGAAGAACUCAACCCAUAUCAAAUAGAUUCGAGAGUGCAGAUGAUUUGCUGCAGUGUCCGUCAUGAGUCUGCCUGCAGUUGCAUCUGCUGUCCACUAGAGGCAUCCUCUGUGAAGCCUGCCAUUGCUACCUUAAUCCUCCAAACAGUCAUAUAUUAUUCAUCUGAUCCUCACAAUCGCCUUAACAGCGAUCCAGUGAGAGGCAGUUCAUCCAACCACUGAAUAAGGCAUCAUCUGUACAAGUCACUCUUAAGAGAUAUUUAUUUUAUUUAUUCCAAAUGUCAUUAAAUCAAUUCAUUCUUGAAUCAACCCAUCAGACCUGCUGCAGUCCGUCUCAUAUUUUCUCACUUCUGCUAUUCUGAGACGCGUGACCAGAAAUUAUUCAUCAGAAGCAGCAAGCAGCCUCGGCUGAAGGUUUCCGCCUGACCUCUGAGUGCUCUAUUUAUGCCCAGCAGAUUAAAACACUGACGCGAACCAGACAGAGUUUUUCCAUCUGCUGCAGUGCUUUAUUUUGGAGAUGUGCAUUGAGGCCGCUUUUAGCCCGAGUGCAGCUAUUCCUCUGAGAAUGUGCAAAUGUCACAGCAGGGCUGAUGAUGACUGUGUUUUGUCACGCUGCAGGCAGAGCAGAGAUGCUGCGGCUCGAAGUCCGAGAGAGCGCCACAUGUCAAUCGCUCCUGCUUCCGUUAAGAGCUGUUUGUCAGCAGAGCUUUGAUGCACUGAACCCCCACAGCUACUGCUUCCUCUAUGCGACAGAACUCAAAGCUCUAUAAAUACAUUUCUCUGUUCAAUAGUCUAAAAAUAGCCCGCUUGUCGGCAGGAUCCUUCUAUGGCUCCCCCUGUUGGAGCAUCUGGGGACCGCAGCGGCCCUUCCCCUCUCUCUCUCUCUCUCUCUCUCUCUCUCUCUCUCUCUCUCUCUCUCCCUCCUGUGGGAGGUGCGUCUCUCACAUUACAUCGAACCGUGCCCUGACCUUACUCUCUGUCUCAGCUGAAGAGCCAUGGGGAAAUGCUACGGUAAUUAGAUAUAUUAUGUAUCCCUCACAGCAUUACAUACUAUGAAGCAUUUCCUUGUGGGAGAGCAUGCAAACCCUACACCUCUGUUCCAGCUCCCUGCAUUAGAUGUCUGUUUGUUUGUAAUUAUUUAUUUAUUAUUAUUUUUAUUUUUUUCCCAGUAAUAAUAUCUGAACAUGCUUUAAACAAGAUUAAAUUACUUGACAUUAAGAUGUUUUUAGAGUUUGUUAUUCUUAUCUCACUGGAAUAUUCGUUAAUUCAUUCAUUUUUAAUGUGUUUAAUUAUUUAUUUAUUUUG
ensembl:lncRNA